rnacentral:rRNA from 1 species
AUUGAACGCUGGCGGCAGGCCUAACACAUGCAAGUCGAACGAGUGGCGGACGGGUGAGUAAUGUCUGGGAAACUGCCUGAUGGAGGGGGAUAAUUACUGGAAACGGUAGCUAAUACCUCAUAUCAUCGGAUGUGCCUAGAUGGGAUGAGCUAGUAGGUGGGGUAAAGGCUCACCUAGGCGACGAUCCCUAGUGGGUCUGAGAGGAUGACCAGCCACACUGGAGCUGAGAAACGGUCCAGACUCCUACGGGAGGCAGCAGUGGGGAAUAUUGCACAAUGGGCGAAAGCCUGAUGCAGCCAUGCCGCGUGUAUGAAGAAGGCCUUCGGGUUGUAAAGUACUUGCAGCGGGGAGGCGUUACCCGCAGAAGAAGCACCGGCUAACUCCGUGCCAGCAGCCGCGGUAAUUC